UGGGUAUUGUAGCAAAAGUUAGUGAUAAGUACUAAGAAAAGUUUGGCCAUGAAGGAACACGUGUCUUGCAAGACCCUUUUAAGCUCUUAUUACUUCACUUUAUUUGUUAUUUUACAUAAGAGAAUGAAAGCAGCAACACAAUUUUAUCAUUGUGAGCACUAACGUUUGCUUCAUUUUGACGGAGAUGAACAACAAUUUUUCUCUUCAACCAAAAAAAUACUAGAUUUCAGUAUUGGGGAAAAUACAAAUAAUUACAAAGAGGUUAUAUAAAUGUUGGUUUCCUCCGGAUUCUAGCAAAUUUGGGUUUUCUUCAAAGUAAAGUAAAGUGGAAGAAGAUCAUUUUUUGGUAUAUAAGAUUCCACUUGGAGGGAGACUCAGCUCGUGAGCCUAUGAAAAGAUUUGGUAUAAGGUACAGACGAUCGAUUUGCUGAUCCGCCCGCUUAGGAUCCUAUUCCGCUGUCUUGGAGUGCUCUUUUGUCCGGAGCCUAUAUUUUGGUACAGUCCUUUGCUAUUGUAUAUAUGUACGCUAUUCAGGGGUAUGACGGGGCCCUGUCCCGUCUUAUGAUUCUGUUAUGAUCUGUAGAGGUCUGUAGACACACUUGUGGGUUCUGUAUAUGUUUUGGGUGAUAUGAUCUGUGAUAGCCUCAUCGGCUUCCACGUGCUAUAUUUGUUCACCUGUGAUAGUUAGUGACGCCAUUUGACCUCUAUAUUUAUAUAUAUUCUGCUAAUAUAAUGGUUUGGGUUAUUGGGUACGUUUGGGUGUCCAGCACGGACACUAGUCGCGGCCUACGGGGUUGGGUCGUGACAAAAGUGGUAUCAGAGCGGUUUGUCCUCGGAAUGUCUACAGGCCGUGUCUAGUAGAGUCUUGUUUAUCGGUGUGUUGUGCACCACAUCUAUAAACAGGGAGCUACAGGACAUUUAGGAUGUUGCCUUUCUUUCAUAUCUCAGAUCGUGCGAUAGAGCCCAGCCAUAGGAAAUGAAAUUCCUUUUACUAACCUUUGAUUUCAGCUGAAGAACGGUAUCGACAGAAGAAAGUGGCUGAUGAUAUUGGAAGCUACACUGUACACAGGAAAGAAACGGUGCGAAAGGGGCAUGUUGGAUAAGGUAAGAAUAUUGAGAUAUGAUUGAAAUAUAAGGUUGAAGAAUGAAAGAUAAGGUAGAUAGGAAGAUAUAACAGGACGGAUCGUUAAAGGAUAAGGUACGUCUCGAGGUGCGUUAUAUGAGGUAAGUUCUGACAUUUUUAUACUUUUUACUUGACAAUGAGAGCCCUGUGUGGCUACGAUGCGAUAUGAUAUAUGCGUAUAUAUGUUGGCCCUGUGGGGCAUUGUUGGUAUUUCAUGUGUGCAGGAUCUAGGAUAGUAAGAAGUACAGAGGAAACUCUGCCCAAAUUUUUCCAGAAAUAGGAAAAAGAAAAGAGAAUGAGACCUAAGCUCAUGAUAUGUUUGGAAGGUUGAUACCGACAAGGUAAGUGUAUUAUAUUGGACUAAAGCUUUAAGAAAUACCCCCUUGUCAUCUAUAAGAGGCAUCAUUCUUAUUUGGGAAACAUUGUUUGAAGAAGCGUAUAUGAACAGCGAAUUCGCAAUUCAUUUAGACGGACCAGAAUACGUUCCAACCACAUUUUGCUUUAGAAAAAAAAACCUUUGUUGAAGGGCAAAAACAUCCGGCAAUUAAGUUUCACCUUAUUGGAAGAAUACAAAGCGUACAACAAGCAGUUGGGAAUUAAAUGAUUCGCUUACGACUUAAGAAUAAAUAUGGAGGUAAAUUAUGUGAAUCAAGCACUAAGAAGUUCUGUGGUGCUUGUCGGAUUUUAGUUUUCUUCUGCUGGUGGUUAGAGAAUGUUUUAGAGUAACAUUUUAUCAGUUCUCAUCGACUAAUUGGAGAUGAAAUUUGUGGAAGAAAAACUUAAACUUGUGGGCUGUCUAGGAUUAUAUAUCUCAUGUGUUGUUGGUGAAAUACUAAAGAUGAUCUAGGAAAAGAGGCAACUCGUAACAGAACAUUUUAUUGAGGUAUCGAGUGAACCGAUAGACAGGGAUAAAUUACGACGAGUUACAAUUAAAAAGAGUAACAGUAUGAUUGAGAUAAAAGUACAGAAGAGGAAGAGUUAUACCAAAUCUUGAAGGUGUUGAUAAGACAGCUUGUGAGAUAUUAAGGAUAGGAUUGAUUAGAAAAGGGGUGAAUAAAUUGAAGGGAAUCGACCAACGAAAAGGGCAUGUGAAGGGCAUAAUUCAAUAAAAGAACACUUGAGGAAGUAUUGGGAGUACAAGACUGGUUUAACAUUCGGGGACGAAUGUUUUAAAGGGGGGAAGAAUGUUAUAUCCCGUAUUUUCAUGUGUUGGAAAGCGUGCGAGUUAAAUGAUAUUAGUAACGAAAAUGAGUUUAUCCUCCCAAGCUUAUGGGUGGUUGUAGUGAUGGUACAAAUGUGUUAUAAUAUUUGAAGAUAAACAAAUAUAAGAAAAUAAGUUUUACCGAGGUUCGAAAUUUAUUUGAUGAAAUACGGUCCAAGCUAUAAUAUCCCGUAUUUUUGGACUAGAAAAUUUAAUCGUCCAAUAUGAGCAAAAUUACCCGAGCCCGGAGAAUUCGAUCAUAUUCAAGGAUGAAGAUCAAGAGCUCGGUGUACAAAGAGUUUGAGGUCCCGAAAUAAUUUAAGACUUAACAAGUGUGACCACGGUGAUUGAGAAUAAUAUUUUAUGUAUAUCAAGAGGGACUAUGGACUAGCGCUAUGCCACAUAAUCAUGAUAAUGAGUAUAUGAAGAGUGUUAAAAAUAAUUUAUUACUUAAGUGAAUCGUAGUCAAGGAAUUAACUAUGUGUGUAAUUGGUUUAACGAGGGAUUGUAGUGGAAGACAAAAAAAAAAAUUAAAUUAAUUGGGAUCAUUGGAUAACUAUUAGGUGGAUAUGGUCCACGUGUAUAAACAAUAAAUUGGCAGCAAAUAUUUUGGAUGUAGGACAUUGGGUAUUGUAGCAAAAGUUAGUGAUAAGUACUAAGAAAAGUUUGGCCAUGAAGGAACACGUGUCUUGCAAGACCCUUUUAAGCUCUUAUUACUUCACUUUAUUUGUUAUUUUACAUAAGAGAAUGAAAGCAGCAACACAAUUUUAUCAUUGUGAGCACUAACGUUUGCUUCAUUUUGACGGAGAUGAACAACAAUUUUUCUCUUCAACCAAAAAAAUACUAGAUUUCAGUAUUGGGGAAAAUACAAAUAAUUACAAAGAGGUUAUAUAAAUGUUGGUUUCCUCCGGAUUCUAGCAAAUUUGGGUUUUCUUCAAAGUAAAGUAAAGUGGAAGAAGAUCAUUUUUUGGUAUAUAAGAUUCCACUUGGAGGGAGACUCAGCUCGUGAGCCUAUGAAAAGAUUUGGUAUAAGGUACAGACGAUCGAUUUGCUGAUCCGCCCGCUUAGGAUCCUAUUCCGCUGUCUUGGAGUGCUCUUUUGUCCGGAGCCUAUAUUUUGGUACAGUCCUUUGCUAUUGUAUAUAUGUACGCUAUUCAGGGGUAUGACGGGGCCCUGUCCCGUCUUAUGAUUCUGUUAUGAUCUGUAGAGGUCUGUAGACACACUUGUGGGUUCUGUAUAUGUUUUGGGUGAUAUGAUCUGUGAUAGCCUCAUCGGCUUCCACGUGCUAUAUUUGUUCACCUGUGAUAGUUAGUGACGCCAUUUGACCUCUAUAUUUAUAUAUAUUCUGCUAAUAUAAUGGUUUGGGUUAUUGGGUACGUUUGG